rnacentral:rRNA from 1 species
GAGUUUGAUUCUGGCUCAGAUUGAACGCUGGCGGAAUGCUUUACACAUGCAAGUCGAGCGGCAGCGCGGGGCAACCUGGCGGCGAGCGGCGAACGGGUGAGUAAUACAUCGGAACGUGCCCAGACGUGGGGGAUAGCCCGGCGAAAGCCGGAUUAAUACCGCAUGUGAUCUGAGGAUGAAAGCGGGGGACCUUCGGGCCUCGCGCGUUUGGAGCGGCCGAUGGCAGAUUAGGUAGUUGGUGGGGUAAAGGCUUACCAAGCCCGCGAUCUGUAGCUGGUCUGAGAGGAUGAUCAGCCACACUGGGACUGAGACACGGCCCAGACUCCUACGGGAGGCAGCAGUGGGGAAUUUUGGACAAUGGGCGAAAGCCUGAUCCAGCCACUCCGCGUGCAGGACGAAGGCCCUCGGGUUGUAAACUGCUUUUGUACAGAACGAAAAGUCUCCGGUUAAUACCCGGGGGUUCAUGACCGG